ncrna:unclassified sequences ROOL RNA
UUCGGUCUUUUUAAACAUGAUUAACUCAGUGAAGAUGGAUUUUUCAGUCCUGCUGAGAUGCAUUGGUGAUGAGAUAGGUUGGUUCUGGAUACUGGAUCAACUGAUUCUUUCCGGUAGAAGCGAUUCUGCUGGAGAAGAUGGGAACCAUCAACAACGCCGUGCAGUGUAUCAUCAUAGAGAAAUCAAAUGCAGAAUCCUUGUGGUCAGCGUAGAAUAGACGCUUGCGGUGCAAGAAUAAUCCGGUGAUGUGAGUAGCGUGAGAGACUACGGACUAACUGGAAAUUCUCAAUAAGCUGAUUUGCCUUGAAUCUGAGAAAUCGGAGUAUAACACAAGAAAUUCGUUAAAGUAGCGGUAUGGCAGUUUUAAAAAGCAAUCUUUCGAUACGAGCAUAUGAGAAUAAGGAAAUGCAAAUAGGCGAAAGCAUAAUCUGAAAGAACCGUGAAAUUUACGGGUAUCAAUCCCGUGUGUGCUUUGAUAGCGGUAAGAAGCCAAGGGUCGCUCCUGGACGCUCAGACUUAUCGUCACACUGGCUGAAUAUGAUUUCUACCAUGAUGAAUAAAGGGAAGCCUUAAUCAUGUUUAAAACAAUAC